UACGUAGGUGGCAAGCGUUGUCCGGAUUCAUUGGGCGUAAAGGGCGCGUAGGCUGCGGGGCAAGUCGGGUGUGAAAUCUCAGAGCUCAACUCUGAAACUGCACUCGAUACUGCUUUGCUUGAGGACUGGAGAGGAGAUUGGAAUUCACGGUGUAGCAGUGAAAUGCGUAGAUAUCGUGAGGAAGACCAGUGGCGAAGGCGGAUCUCUGGACAGUUCCUGACGCUGAGGCGCGAAGGCCAGGGGAGCAAACGGG
rnacentral:rRNA from 1 species